AACGAACGCUGGCGGCAUGCCUAACACAUGCAAGUCGAACGAGACCUUCGGGUCUAGUGGCGCACGGGUGCGUAACGCGUGGGAACCUGCCCUUAGGUUCGGAAUAACUCUCCGAAAGGGGUGCUAAUACCGGAUAAUGUCCUCGGACCAAAGAUUUAUCGCCCUUGGAUGGGCACGCGUUGGUUUAGCUAGUUGGUAGGGUAAAAGCCUACCAAGGCGACGAUCCAUAGCUGGUCUGAGAGGAUGAUCAGCCACACUGGGACUGAGACACGGCCCAGACUCCUACGGGAGGCAGCAGUGGGGAAUAUUGGACAAUGGGCGAAAGCCUGAUCCAGCAAUGCCGCGUGAGUGAUGAAGGCCUUAGGGUUGUAAAGCUCUUUUACCCGGGAUGAUAAUGACAGUACCGGGAGAAUAAGCUCCGGCUAACUCCGUG
rnacentral:rRNA from 1 species